GACCAACGCUCUAUCCACUGAGCCAAGCCAGCCAGGGCCAAAAGGUUCUGAGUUUCAAAGAGGGCACUUUAUGCCCACACUAGCACUGGACCUGCCAUGAAGAAAUGCUCAAAGAUUGAAUGAGAAUAAAUUUUACUUUAUUGA